rnacentral:lncRNA from 1 species
AAGAAUGUGUGUGGAUUUUGAACCAGCUUCAUUUGUCCAUUUCAGUUGGAAGAGCAGGUGGUACAAUUCCCACCAGACCUGGCUUUGAGUCUUGGCAAUCUUAGGAGCCAAGAUUCCAGCCUGGAUGUUGCAGCCAAGCUCAGUAGGGAAACCCCAAGAAGCCAGGAUGCCUGAGACUCCAGUUUAAGUUCCACUUUGAUUCCCUUCCUUUAUUUGAGAUUCUGAGCAGUCCUCACUGAAACCUCCUCAGGGAUCUAUUUCUUCACUCAAGCUACCUACAUAUAUCCAUGAGCAGUAUGUGAUCAUGGCCAGAUACAAAGAGGAAAUGGAUCUCAUUUUUUGCUGGAGUGGACAUAUGCUUCCCAAGAUUGGGACACUGACAAGUUUUAGCAAGGGCAUGGAGUGCCAAGCAAACAUUGAACACCAUGAUAAUUUUUUCUUGUCAAAAUGUGUCAAAUACCAAAUGUGAUGACUUCUGAAAACAUUGAAUACCACAGUUUGACUGUAAUUUGAAGUAGGAUUGGUAUUAUAGGUAUGUUUUGCUCUUUUAGUUUAAGUUUGAUGUUUGGGACAAAAUGAGGCAGUUAUGAAUCAUUGAACAGAGGAAAUUUGCUUCAUCUAAACCCAUUAAGGAUAUACAGCAAGGAUGCAGUCACAUUUAGUUCUAUUUAUCUGGACCUGGUUCCAUUUGUCUGGAAACUUAGCCAUCUACU